rnacentral:lncRNA from 1 species
AUUUUUUGUGGGCGAGGCUCGUCUCAUUUUAUUUUAAAGGAUAAGCGUAAAAGCGACUAUAUUUUCUAUUUUUGUUUUCUGUCUUUAAAAAAAAAAAGAAAAGUGACCCAAAAUUACAUUUAAAAUUCGGGCCUCGAGUUCAAGUUCGGGUCCAAUCAAAAGGACGAGCCUAAUAAUUUAAAAUUCAAAAUUCGCUAAUUAACUCAAAACCCGAAUUUCAAAUACCAAAUAUGUCAAUUGAAAGAAUAUUUGAACUGGGCCAACGACAAAUGUCAGUCCAGGCCAAGCGUAUACAAUCAUAAAGAGGACCUGGGCCUUCUGCUUGUGUACGAUGCCCAUCACUCGAGUCUGUUCCAGUUAUGUCAAGUGCACUUGCUCAAAUUAGCCCGAUACUGCUUGUUUUGAUUAUAGAAUCACAGACGUUGGAACUAAGCUGACCCUUUUGAAGAUAACAUGAAUGCACAUAUAUAUAUCAGCCUCCCAGCUAAUUCCAAAUUCUAUUCUACUCAAACUUCUUGCUUCAAUUUACACUUAACUUUCUUUUCUUUCAAUCAAUGCAACACUAUUUAGUUAUCAAUAAAGGCAAAGUAAUAGUCCACCAAGUUCAACCACCAGAUUUAUCAAAUAUACUUUACUGCUUUAAGAUUUAAAUGCUUAUGCCCUGAUCUCAAACCCAGCAGUAGUGACUUCAACUCAAAUCUAAGCUGAUAUUUUCCUUCUUAAAUAUUUGGCCAGCAUCUAAUACACAAAAACAUUCACAAAUUAAAACAUAUGAUUCGAAUGCUAGAUAUAGUCCACACAGUCCAUUACAAAUCCAAACUAGCCCGAAUCAGUCUUUAGAACAACCCUAAUCACACAGUCAAGUUCUAUAUUUCAUAUAAUACUAAAUAAACUGCUAACAUUAACUUCAUGUAUUUCGAUGGCAUUCAUUGAAUUAAAAUUGGUCUCAAUGAGCUCAAAUCCAAUGGAAACUUCUCAUUUCAACUUCAAUUUUAAAGUUACAUCAGGAUAAUUGAGGGGGUGUACCCGAAAACGAUAUGGAAAUAGAGGAUGAAGGUCAGAAAGAUACUGAUUGAUCAGCAGCAAUAACCAAUAAUUUCCAGCAGUACUAAACAACCAACAGCCCAGAAAGUUUUCGAAAAAACCAAAUAGAACCAAAAUCAACACCAAAACUGCACAGGGACAACCAGGAAAGCUAUACACUCAACAAAUAAAACCACAAUAAUGUCAAGCAACCCAAAUAAUUCGAAACCGAGCUUGAAUUAACCCAACUUGGACUAUGAAACCCCAGAAAAGCUUCAACACAUUCAAACCAAACUCCGAGAUCAAAGGCAACAAUUAAUACUUCGAAAUUGAGCCCUAGCUCAAUGUAACAGUAAUUAUUAUGACUAUUUUUGCUGCAUUUUGUUGUUGUGUUUUCUUUUUUGGAUUUUUCUUUUUGAAAAACUAAGAACUUAGGAGAAAAAUGUGAACCUGAGUGUUAGUUUCAGAUUUGGACUGGGAGAGAUUUAUUUGGGGGAAUAUUGGGGCUCCAAUCUUGUGAAUGGAGUAAAGGGCAUGUCAUUUUAUAGGCACAAAUGAGGGCAGCCCUCAGAUUUUCAGUUUUCAAUCCAGUCCCUGUUUAUAUACAGCUUUGGUCCCUCAGUUUUUAACUUGUGUUGCAAGUAAUGCCUUAAACUUCCUAAAAUGUAUACUUAAGUCCUAUUUUGGAAUAUCCUAGAAGAUUCUAUCACGUUCCUAUUCCCUUUAAAUCCCUAAACUACCCUUGCUUGAAAUUAGCAACCUCACUGAUUCACUGACCCACCCCCUUAACCAUAGUCAGUUAAACCUACAAAACUAAGAGCUAAUUAACUAAACCAAACAAUUAAACUAAUUGAAAUUAAUGCAGUAAUCUAACUGAAACGAUUAUACUACAAUUCAAACUGAGAUGAACACACUUAUACUUAAACAAAAUUAACCGAAAUCAAGCACAACUAAACAGAACCACGGGAAGAAAAUUAAAUGGAACCAGAGAAAAAUUUGAAAUCGAUUGGUUUGAACCUAAAAUGCGAUAAACAAACACUUAAGAGACAUUACCAAUUGACCUUCGAACAACAACUGCUUUUCCAAUUCCACCAUGGGAUGAUAUCAAUCAGCUGUUCUUUGUCAAAACAGUCAAAUGAUAUCAGCUCAUAGUGAAACUGUGCUUAUGACUUGUGGAGAAACAGAGAAGAAAUGACGCCGGCCCAAGUUCCGAAUUUUAGGUUCAAAAAUUUGAGAAGUUUGGGGAACUUUUGAAGUAGAUUUGUGAUAUGGGGAUGGAGGUGGAUCUACGGUGUAAGACCAAUAGUGUUUGGGGUGGCAGCACUGCCACCGGAAGCUAAACGCCGUGGCUAAGGUUAGGGUAUUUUUGGGGCAUUUCGAUGGGGUUUGAGAGGAAAUAAACGCGGAUUGCUGAUGAGGAGAUGAAGACGAAGCCUUGGUGUAAAUUUAGGGGUUGUCCGACGAGUUAAGGUUUUGGGGUUGAGAUUUGCUUUGAUAUUCGACGAGUUCCGGUGAUCUUCGAGGAAAAUCAAUGGAGGAAAAGGCAUGAGGAAGACAAGAUGGAGCUUUGGUGUGAUUUGGUGACAGUUGGAGCUCCGCUGCCGCCAUGGGCGAUUUCCGGUGGCGGCGGGUGGUGGUAGAACGGGAAUACGAGGAGGGUGAAAUAUAUCUAGGGUUUAAUGUAUAUCUUCAGAUAUUUUUAUGUAAAUGGGAGAUG